UACAGAGGGUGCAAGCGUUGUUCGGAAUUAUUGGGCGUAAAGGGCGCGUAGGCGGUGCGGUAAGUCUGUAGUGAAAUCUCUGGGCUCAACUCAGAGUCUGCUGCAGAAACUGCCGUGCUUGAGUGUGGGAGAGGUGCGUGGAAUUCCUGGUGUAGCGGUGAAAUGCGUAGAUAUCAGGAGGAACACCUGUGGCGAAAGCGGCUCACUGGACCAUUACUGACGCUGAUGCACGAAAGCUAGGGGAGCAAACAGG
rnacentral:rRNA from 1 species